rnacentral:misc_RNA from 1 species
UCCGGGGUUUCCCCGGCAGUCCCCCAUGAGUGCCCGGCAUCACCCGAUGGCAACAUAAGGCGGGGGUUGCGCUCGUUACGGGACUUAACCCAACAUUUCACAACACGAGCUGACGACAGCCAUGCAGCACCUGUCUCAGAGCUCCCGAAGGCACCAAUCCAUCUCUGGAAAGUUCUCUGGAUGUCAAGACCUGGUAAGGUUCUUCGCGUUGCAUCGAAUUAAACCACAUGCUCCACCGCUUGUGCGGGCCCCCGUCAAUUCUUUUGAGUUUUAGCCUUGCGGCCGUACUCCCCAGGCGGAACACUUAACGCGUUGGCUGCGGCACAGAGGGAUUCGACUCCCCCCACACCUAGUGUUCAUCGUUUACGGCUAGGACUAC